rnacentral:rRNA from 1 species
ACAGUUCGGUCCCUAUCCGUUGUGGGCGAAGGAUAUUUGAGAGGAGCUGUUCUUAGUACGAGAGGACCGGAAUGGACAUACCAAUGGUGUACCAGUUGCAUACCAAAUGCAUAGCUGGGUAGCUAAGUAUGGACUGGAUAAACGCUGAAGGCAUCUAAGCGUGAAGCCACCCUCAAGAUAAGAUAUCCCAAAACGCAAGUGAGUAAGGUCCCUUGAAGACAACAAGGUAGAUAGGUUGGAGGUGUAAGUGCAGCAAUGUAUUGAGCUGACCAAUACUAAUAGACCGAGGGCUUGACCUAG